GUCUUUGUAGUAUAAUAAUUACUUUGGUCUUGUAAUCCAAAAAUGGAGAAUCCUAUCUCCCUAAGACU
rnacentral:tRNA from 1 species